rnacentral:lncRNA from 1 species
GGACGCAGACCGGGGAGGCGACCCUCGGGCCCCGCAGCCUCGGCGCGACAGGCGCGUCCCCCCCGCCCCGGCCCAGUCCCCACGGCGCGACGCCCGGGGGGCUUCCUACCUCGGCGGCGGGGGCGGUCGGGCUCCGGGGUGCGGGCUCCGGCGGUCGGGGGGCGUGGGGGGCCGAGCGGGGGAGGGGCCGGGGCGGGCGGGGGCCGGGGCGCGAGGCUCACGGGGCGCGGGCUCCCCUGGCACGGCCGCCCGGCGCCCGGCCGCUCCGCCACAUCUGCAGCUCCGGCAGGGAAGGUGGCCGCGGCGGCCGGGCCGUGCGGGGAUGUCUUAGAGGGAGGGCGGGCGGGAGGAGGGAGGAGGGAGGCGGCGGGAGGAGGGCCCGGCGGCCGCGGAGGAGGGCGAGGAGGAGGGGCGCGGGGGGCGGCCUCCACCCCUCCCCUCGCUCGCUCCCGCCCUCCCAGCAAACCCCUCUCGCCGCCGCGGCCCCAGGCCCGGGGCGCCAGCUGCCAGGCGGGGCGUGCGCGUCGGGGGAGGGGGCGGCGGGACCCGGCGCUGGGCCCAGGGAGGGGGAGGGGAGGGCGGCGCGGCGGCGGGGAGCGGGCACCGGGAGAGAGGGGCGGGGAGGGAAAGGGGGCGCCGAGCCGCGCGCGUCCUCCUUGGCCCCAUCUUCACGCCCCCCCCCCGCAGCCCCGCCCCCGGCCCGAGGGCAGCGCUAGGACACGGCCGGGAGGUGGCCUAGGGGGGCGGGGGAGCCCGAGACGUCCCGCCCUCGGGGAAGCCCGGGGAGGGGGCCCGGCGCACGGGAGCAGAGAAAAAGCCCCGAAGACAGAGAAGAUGGAGGAGGUCGCCGCGGCCGAGCGGGCGGGGACCCCUCUCCUCCUCCCUCGGGGUCACCUUGGCCAGGCCCCCCGCGGCCCCAGGCGGCGGGGAAGGCGACUGGAAUGCCUCUCCGCGGGCCCUAUUUCUCCGCCCAGCCCAGUUCCAGGAACGCGCAGGCAGCGCCCGGCGGGCAGAGGCCCCGGCACCCGAUGCCGGCCGGGCGGCGCAAACCAAGGUUCGGGGCCCGGUGCAGCCCCUCACCCUGGGCCGACGGCGGGCGGGUCCCUGACUUGCCCUCGGCCUCAGUUUCCCUCACGGUGGAAUAAGGAUGAGGUCCGUUGCAUGCCCAGCAAUCCGGGCUUCCGCUUGAUUCCAAGCUUGGUCCCAGCAUUUGGGACCACCUGCGUCCCCGAGCCCGAGCGCCGCGUGGGGGUGUAG